rnacentral:rRNA from 1 species
CCUACGGGAGGCUGCAGUGGGGGAUAUUGCACAAUGGGGGGAACCCUGAUGCAGCGACGCCGCGUGGGUGAAGAAGCGUUUCGGCGCGUAAAGCCCUAUCGGCAGGGGAGAAGAUGACGGUACCUGGCCAAGAAGCCCCGGCUAACUACGUGCCAGCAGCCGCGGUAUUACGUAGGGGGCAAGCGUUAUCCGGAUUUACUGGGUGUAAAGGGGGCGCAGACGGCAAUGCAAGCCAGGAGUGAAAGCCCGGGGCACAACCCCGGGACUGCUCUUGGAACGGCAUGGCUGGAGGACAGGAGGGGGAGGCGGAAUUCCUAGUGUAGCGGUGAAAUGCGUAGAUAUUAGGAGGAACACCGGUGGUGAAGGCGGACUGCUGGACUGUGACUGACGUUGAGGCCCGAAGGCGUGGGGAGCAAACAGGAUUAGAUACCCUUGUAGGC